GACGAACGCUGGCGGCGCGCCUAACACAUGCAAGUCGAACGAGAGAUGAGGAGCUUGCUCUUCAAAUCGAGUGGCGAACGGGUGAGUAACGCGUGAGGAACCUGCCUCAAAGAGGGGGACAACAGUUGGAAACGACUGCUAAUACCGCAUAAGCCCACGGCUCGGCAUCGAGCAGGGGGAAAAGGAGCAAUCCGCUUUGAGAUGGCCUCGCGUCCGAUUAGCUAGUUGGUGAGGUAACGGCCCACCAAGGCGACGAUCGGUAGCCGGACUGAGAGGUUGAACGGCCACAUUGGGACUGAGACACGGCCCAGACUCCUACGGGAGGCAGCAGUGGGGAAUAUUGCACAAUGGGGGAAAUCCUGAUGCAGCGACGCCGCGUGGAGGAAGAAGGUCUUCGGAUUGUAAACUCCUGUUGUUGAGGAAGAUAAUGACGGUACUCAAC
rnacentral:rRNA from 1 species